AUAUCACUAAGCGGAGGAAAAGAAACCAAAAGGGAUUCCCUGAGUAAGGGCUACUGAAAAGGGAACAGUCCAUCGUGAAGGGCCACCACCUUAGCCGGUGAGCAGCCGAUGCCACGUACUAGUUUGGCUUCAGUUGGGUGCAGGGAAUCGUGCGAAACGGUUGGAAUGCCGUGCCGUUGAGGGUAGAAGCCCCAUAGCGCGACGAUCCGCAGCCAGCGAGCUUUACUAUUUGAGUCAGUUUGCUUGAGAGUGCAAACUAAAGACGGCAAGGU
rnacentral:rRNA from 1 species